CGCAAUACAUGAAGUCAGAACCUAAUUAAUUACAGUGCAUCAGAUAAGAAUAAAGCUUUCAAAUAUUAGAACAUUACAUUAUGGCCCAUUAAUACAUAAACUACUACAUUAAUAACUAAUCUAUUACAUUAGAAUUCUAUGAGAAGAAUACACCAGCUAAUCUUAUUACAAUGUUUGAGAAAAUUGACAGCCUAGUGAACUUUUGCUCUUUUUGGAUAUCACUGAUCCAACCAAGGCUUAAUUCACCACCAGGAACCACCAAUAUUUGUGUAAUAGUAACAACCAAAUUCCAGCUUUUAGCUUUAGAAAAACGUGCUGAUUUGGCCAACUAGUGAUCAAAUCCCCAGGUUAUAGCCUAUAGGCAAAGUGACCUCAAAACAAAGCACUAUGUUAUUAUCAUGUGAGUAGAAGAAGAAAGAAAGACAACUUCAGCAAUCAAAGUUCAGAAUCAGUAAAAGAUUUGGACUAAAAAAAUUUAGACUUGUCCAUUUUCAAAGAGGGAAUUACAAGUAUCUGUAAACCAAACAAAGUGCUCAUGCUAGUUCAUUUUCACACUUAAACUCACUCAGCAAAAUUUAUUAGAUCUGUAAUAAAUUAAUCAACUAUUACAUGAAAAAUACUCAUUCAGUAUAUAUAAUUUGCAACUUGUUGGUAUUAUAUCAUUCCAAAUAGGCAGUACAUCAAGAGAGGUAAAAUCAGUCCCUUAACAACAUCAAAAACCAGCAGUAAACAGAUGAAAUGCUGACUGAAACUUUAAAGAGGGAGCAACAACCAGUACUAAAUAAUAGUAGUAAGAAAACAACCCAGAAACCAAAGAACCAGCCCUAGACUUCAAUAAUCAGGGCACUUAGAGAAAACCAGCUUAGGGUUCCAAUCAGAAAAACCAAUGUUCUUAGCCAAAAGAAAGUUUCAAAAAUUCCUAUUUUGUAUUCUGAAUAUUUUAGUGCAGAUAUGCUGAUGAUGUUCUGUGUGUGAAUGAGUGAAUGCUUAUUCUUUAUAUAGAAUGCACAAGGAUAGCAUAAAAAUGGAAUAUUCCACCCUAAUUUCUGAAAUGUCAGAUAGUACAACAUCUUUUAACAGUUGUCUAUCCUUUUUCAGCCCAAUUCUAGCAUUUUUCAUGGUGGAAAUGGGGACAACUGUACUAAUACUAGAAUCUUCUGAUAUUUACCUAAUGUAAAACCUAAUUUUAACCCUUCAAUUACUGAUUAUUUCAAUUUUACCCUAUAUUUGGAUCCUAUUUUGAUUCCAGAAAUCCCUUUAGGACCUUCUAGAACCAUCUAGGCCAUUCUAGCCUUGGAUUCCUUGAAUUGGUUUCCAAUUACCCCUUUAAAGUUUUUAAUAUUACCCUUUCAACCGCUUAAUACUAAUUGGCAUUCAAAGACUCCCAACUCAAACAAUUAUGGCCAAAUCAUAGACACACCAAAGAAAAUAAUUUGUCAAUUAACACUUAAUUAAACUCUGAACUUUGACCAAAACAGAUCUAAUCCACCUAACAAAUUGUAGUUAACAAAUGAACACUACAAUCAAGCUCAACAUACUAAUCAUUGGAGUAGGGCGUUUGUCUAAUUAAACCUUUAUCACUGAAUCUAAAACAAACAAAUAUUAAAGAGAAACAACCACAAACGAAAAACCAGAAUAAUUAUGCAAUAAAAGCCUAAUAGCUAACCCUAAUUAAUCUAAGCUUGAUGCAAUUAAACUAACUUUUAGAUAAUUUAAACUAAUCACCAAAUUCAAAAUGUUCCAACAAUUUUCACAAUUAACCUAACAGUGAACGCAAUGCACUAAACAAUCUAAGCACACAGUCAAACACAUGCACAAAUAGAAAGAAAGGAGGAAGAAAGAAUGAAAGUAUACCUAACGGUCUUAAAAAGACUCUGGCAAAUCGGAACAGCUUCGAAAUUGGUCUAAAAAUACGUUAAUCAAUCGUUCUUAUUGAGAACGAUCAAUUAACAUAAGUUUUAAACCCAAAUCAAGUCUUGAAACUCGAAAGAAACAAAAGAAAAGUCGGCAAAGCGGGUAAACUAGGGUUUUUUAUUUUUAGAUAUGGGAUUCUAGGAAAUCAACAGGGAAUUUAAGCAUAUUGGCGGUUUGAUAGUGGUGAGGAAAGACCAGGGGUUGUUUGGUAUGAUUUUAGGAUUUUUUCAGGCGAUUAAGGGUUUGGGUCGGAAUUUGAGAUAUGAGAUUGGUGGAAUUUGAUGGGGUUUUUGGUGAAAAGGUUAAUAGAUUAGUGUAAAGGGAAGGCUGGGGAUCAUCUUGUUAAAUUUUGGAGCGGUUUGGAGGUGGUCCGCUGCUAAGAGGAGAUUUUCGGGAGGCAGAGGAAGGAGGAGACGGCGAGGGGUUAUAGGACGGCUAGGUUUUGUUGUUUGAGAGCUUGGGAAACAGAAGUGAAAG
rnacentral:lncRNA from 1 species